GUUGUUGCUCUCAGCAGAAUGUCCAUGAAGGAAGUGACCUUCAUGAGACAAUUUACGACCGGGAAAUGGCAUCCCUUCUUUAACUGAUACAUCUCCUUCCACCAUCACCAGGAGGACUGAAGUCUCCAAAAAUCAGUCCAUGUGAUGCUGCUGAAAGACUUGUAAUCUUUCACAAGUCAUGCUGCAGUUUGGAGGAGCACCUCAACAACAUCCAGCAUCAGCAUCCGUACCUCCUUGCUGUUGGACGCCAGAAAAGCAAGAUUGAGGGCUUCUACAUCAUCUUGGAUAAGCAUCUCAUCCUAUGCCAGGCAAACCGCUCCCUUGGAGCAUUUGAUGAACUUUUCAAGGCACAUUUUGUUCAAUUUGUCCUAUGAUGGUGCACUUCUGAACUUUUACACAUUCCUGCAGACAACAGUGUAUAACAUUGAUGAAGGUAAAAUGAAGGAGUCUCCCAGGGUUCGAGAUUGGAGGGCCAGACUG